rnacentral:rRNA from 1 species
AACGAACGCUGGCGGCAGGCUUAACACAUGCAAGUCGAGCGCCCCGCAAGGGGAGCGGCAGACGGGUGAGUAACGCGUGGGAAUCUACCCAUCUCUACGGAAUAACGCAUGGAAACGUGUGCUAAUACCGUAUACGUCCUACGGGAGAAAGAUUUAUCGGAGAUGGAUGAGCCCGCGUUGGAUUAGCUAGUUGGUGGGGUAAAGGCCUACCAAGGCGACGAUCCAUAGCUGGUCUGAGAGGAUGAUCAGCCACACUGGGACUGAGACACGGCCCAGACUCCUACGGGAGGCAGCAGUGGGGAAUAUUGGACAAUGGGCGCAAGCCUGAUCCAGCCAUGCCGCGUAGGUGAUGAAGGCCCUAGGGUUGUAAAGCUCUUUCACCGGUGAAGAUAAUGACGGUAACCGGAGAAGAAGCCCCGGCUAACUUCGUGCCAGCCGCCGCCGUAACAC